rnacentral:rRNA from 1 species
CCCUUAGAUGUUCUGGGCCGCACGCGCGCUACACUGAUGAAUGCAACGAGCUCUACCCUUGACCGAAAGGCCCGGGUAAACUUGUGAAACUUCAUCGUGAUGGGGAUAGAUUAUUGCAAUUAUUAAUCUUCAACGAGGAAUUCCUAGUAAGCGCGAGUCAUCAGCUCGCGUUGAUUACGUCCCUGCCCUUUGUACACACCGCCCGUCGCUCCUACCGAUUGAAUGGUCCGGUGAAAUCUUCGGAUUGCUGACCAAGAUCCAGCAAUGGAGCUUGGUUGCGAGAAGUUGAUUAAACCUUAUUACUUAGAGGAAGGAGAAGUCGUAACA